GAUGAACGCUGGCGGCGUGCCUAAUACAUGCAAGUCGAGCGAACAGACGAGGAGCUUGCUCCUCUGACGUUAGCGGCGGACGGGUGAGUAACACGUGGAUAACCUACCUAUAAGACUGGGAUAACUUCGGGAAACCGGAGCUAAUACCGGAUAAUAUAUUGAACCGCAUGGUUCAAUAGUGAAAGACGGUUUUGCUGUCACUUAUAGAUGGAUCCGCGCCGCAUUAGCUAGUUGGUAAGGUAACGGCUUACCAAGGCAACGAUGCGUAGCCGACCUGAGAGGGUGAUCGGCCACACUGGAACUGAGACACGGUCCAGACUCCUACGGGAGGCAGCAGUAGGGAAUCUUCCGCAAUGGGCGAAAGCCUGACGGAGCCACGCCGCGUGAGUGAUGAAGGUCUUCGGAUCGUAAAACUCUGUUAUUAGGGAAGAACAAAUGUGUAAGUAACUAUGCACGUCUUGACGGUACCUAAUCAGAAAGCCACGGCUAACU
rnacentral:rRNA from 1 species